rnacentral:rRNA from 1 species
AUACGGAGGGUGCAAGCGUUAAUCGGAAUAACUGGGCGUAAAGCGCACGCAGGCGGUUAUAUAAGUCAGAUGUGAAAGCCCCGGGCUCAACCUGGGAACUGCAUUUGAAACUGUGUAACUAGAGUCUUGUAGAGGGGGGUAGAAUUCCAGGUGUAGCGGUGAAAUGCGUAGAGAUCUGGAGGAAUACCGGUGGCGAAGGCGGCCCCCUGGACAGAGACUGACGCUCAGGUGCGAAAGCGUGGGGAGC